rnacentral:rRNA from 1 species
CAUAAUCAUUAGUUUUUUAAUUGGAAACUUGUAUGAAUGGUUAAACAAAAGAAUCUCUGUCUCUUUAUCUUGAAUUGAACUUAACUUUUAAGUGAAAAGGCUUAAAUUUUUUAAGGGGACGAUAAGACCCUAUAAAGCUUUAUAAUUAAAUUAAUAUUUUUAAAUAUAAGUUAUAAAGAAAAAAUUAAUUAGUUUAUUUUGUUGGGGCGACAUAUAUAUAAAUAUACCAUAUAACUGUCAUAAUAUAAUACAUAAAUUUAUGAAUCAAAAAUUGAUCCUUAAUUGAAGAUUAAAAGACUAAGUUACUUUAGGGAUAACAGCGUUAUUUCUUUUGAGAGUUCUUAUUGAAAAAGAAGUUUGCGACCUCGAUGUUGAAUUAAAGAAUC